UACGGAGGGAGCUAGCGUUGUUCGGAAUUACUGGGCGUAAAGCGCGCGUAGGCGGCUUUGUAAGUUAGAGGUGAAAGCCCGGAGCUCAACUCCGGAACUGCCUUUAAAACUGCAUCGCUUGAAUCCAGGAGAGGUGAGCGGAAUUCCGAGUGUAGAGGUGAAAUUCGUAGAUAUUCGGAAGAACACCAGUGGCGAAGGCGGCUCACUGGACUGGUAUUGACGCUGAGGUGCGAAAGCGUGGGGAGCAAACAGG
rnacentral:rRNA from 1 species